rnacentral:lncRNA from 1 species
CUCUUAGUGGCGGUAUUUUCCACAAUGCACUAUUCCCUAUUAUGUAGUCUCUAAUAUACAAAGUACUGUGUUCUGUAAACCUAUCCGUGUAUGUUUUACAGAUGGUGUAUUUGACCGUCACAAUCAGAUCCAAUGCUGGAGAAGAGACUGUGCACGCAUAUCCCGUCCCCUGGCGCACUACUGUAGAUAUGUUUUCUAAUGUCAUUUCCUGAACCAGAAUAAAUGAUGUCUUUGUUUAAAGCUAUGUUAGUGUUUGUCUGUUUGACAGGUAAAGGUAGUGGAUGUAUGUC